rnacentral:misc_RNA from 1 species
AACGCAUCUUGCGCCCUUUGGUAUUCCGAGGGGCAUGCCUGUUUGAGUGUCGCAUUACUCUCAACCCUCGACGUAUGUAUACGGCUUGGGCUUGGACCGUGGCCGAGUGGCUGGCGUCUCGACGUCUGGCCCGGCCGAAAUGGAUGCGGAGCAUCGCGACCGCAUGACCGAGCGUUGUAGAACCUCGCAAGGUCUGCUGGCGCAGCUCUCCAGUCAUCAUCAUCGACCUCAAAUCAGGUAGGACUACCCGCUGAACUUAA